AUUGAGAGUUUGAUCCUGGCUCAGGAUGAACGCUAGCGGCAGGCUUAAUACAUGCAAGUCGAGGGGCAGCAGAGUAUACGCAAGUAUACAGAUGGCGACCGGCGGACGGGUGAGUAAAAGGUAGGAGACCUACCUCAUACUGGGGGAUAGCACAGAGAAAUCUAUGGUAAUACCCCAUGAGGUUAUAUGAAUAGAGGCAUAUAAUCAAAGAUAGUGAGAGUUAUUGGUAUGAGAUGGGCUUACUGACCAUUAGCUAGUUGGUGAGGUAAGGGCUCACCAAGGCGAAGAUGGUUAGGGGUUUUGAGAGAGAGACCCCCCACAUUGGAACUGAGAGACGGUCCAGACUCCUACGGGAGGCAGCAGUAGGGAAUAUUGGGCAAUGGGCGGAAGCCUGACCCAGCCAUGCCGCGUGAAGGAAGACGGCCUUAUGGGUUGUAAACCUCUUUACUAUGCGAAUAGAGGUUAGUACGAGAUACUAAUAGGAAGGUAGCAUAGAAAAAAGCACCGGCUAACUCCGUGCCAGCAGCCGCGGUAAUACGGAGGGUGCGAGCGUUAUUCGGAAUUACUGGGUUUAAAGGGUGCGUAGGCGGUUAAAUAAGUUGUCAGUGAAAGGCUACGGCUCAACUGUAGUAGUGCUGGCGAUACUGUAUAACUAAGAACAUGGGAGGGGUACCUGGAAUGUGUGGUGUAGCGGUGAAAUGCGUAGAUAUCACACAGAACACCGGAGCGAAAGCGGGGUACUAGACCAUAGUUGACGCUGAGCACGAAAGCGUGGGGAUCAAACAGGAUUAGAUACCCUGGUAGUCCACGCCCUAAACGAUGAUCACUAGAUAUUGGCGACAGACAGUCAGUGUCUAAGCGAAAGUGAUAGUGAUCCACCUGGGGAAUACGCCGCAAGUUAAACUCAAGGAUGACGGGGCCCGCACAGCG
rnacentral:rRNA from 1 species